GUGUGUGUAUGGUGUGAGUGUGUGUUGGACGGGGGAGUGUAUGGUGUGAGUAUGUGUUGGAAAGGGGGUAUGGUGUGAGUUGGUGUGGGAUGGGGGGUGUAUGGUGUGAGUGGGUGUUAGACGGGGGGUGUAUGUGUGAGUGUGUGUUGGAUGGGGGGUGUAUGGUGUGAGUAGUAGGUGUUGGACGAGGGGGUGUAUGGUGUGUGAGUGUGUUGGAUGGGGGUGUAUGGUGUGAGUGUGUGUUGGAUGGGGGUGUAUGGUGUGAGUGUGUGUAGGUGUGGGACGGGGGGUGUAUGGUGUGAGUGUGUGUUGAACGGGGGGUGUAUGGUGUGAGUAUGUGUUGGACGGGGGUAUAUGGUGUGAGUGUGUGUUGGACGGAGGGUAUGGUGUGAGUGUGUGUGAGUGUGUGUUGGACGGGGGUGUAUGGUGUGAGUUAGGAAUUAGUACCCGGGCUUAAGUCUUAUUUAGUGAGACACAACGUUGGAGAGAUUUAAAGAGGACGUGGCAGUAGUGUAGUAA
ensembl:lncRNA